AGAGUCUGAACCACCAACCAAAGAACAUACACGGACUGGACCUAGGCCUCCCUGAACAUCGGUAGCAGAUGCACAGCUUGACCUUCAGAAAUCAUGGCCUCAAGUACAUGCAGAAUAAUUCCGGGAGGAGGAACCCAUUUAAAUGUGAGAAAUGAAAUAUGAUAAUAUAAUGACCCUAAGUUGGGUCUCCUAGAAAAACACGAAGUGCUCUUACCUGCUGAACUAUCUGGUGACCCUUCACCUUUAAAUAUAAGAAUUAUGGCAAUAAUAUGAA